CUUGAAUAUUACUCUGAAUUGGGAUGCUCAUAUGUGAUUCAGUUGACACCAUUCUCAAUUUAUGCUGGAUCACAAUUCUUAUAGAAGCAAUAUCUGUAUAUACAAAAAUUACUACAGUGUUGAAUAUGAAACCUUAAAGAACUCGUCCUGGUAUCUUUUGUGAGUUAUUAUAAAGAUCAACCAAUGACUCCCCCACCAACCACAACAUCAAAUGCAGUGCUCCUCUACAGAAUAACAUCACGAAAGAACCAUGGCAAGAUAAAGGCUAGUACCAAGCAUGUCAUUAGAAAGUUGCAUAAAGUCUUCUUACAUUGGCAAGAACUUUCUCGAGAAGUAUCUAAAGUUGCUGCUACCAGAGUCUCAUCUCACUUCUCUCCAUCAUGAAUAUUGAGGUGUUCUCCAAACUGCUGGUUAUGUUCACUAUGUUUCCACAUAUUUCACACAAUCUGCAAAGCACGGUAUGUUUAGAUAAAUCAAGUCUUGAAACACAUUAUUUAUAGAUUAAAUUUUUAGCGAUUGGACAUAUA
rnacentral:lncRNA from 1 species